UACGUAGGGUGCGCGCGUUGUCCGGGAUUAUUGGGCGUAAAGAGCUCGUAGGCGGUGUGUCACGUCGGCCGUGAAAACCUGCAGCUUAACUGUGGGCGUGCGGUCGAUACGGGCAUCACUGGAGUUCGGCAGGGGAGACUGGAAUUCCUGGUGUAGCGGUGAAAUGCGCAGAUAUCAGGAGGAACACCGGUGGCGAAGGCGGGUCUCUGGGCCGAUACUGACGCUGAGGAGCGAAAGCGUGGGGAGCAAACAGG
rnacentral:rRNA from 1 species